rnacentral:rRNA from 1 species
UACGUAGGGUGCGAGCGUUGUCCGGAAUUAUUGGGCGUAAAUAGCUUGUAGGCGGUUUGUCGCGUCUGCUGUGAAAAUCCGGGGCUCAACCCCGGACUUGCAGUGGGUACGGGCAGACUAGAGUGUGGUAGGGGAGACUGGAAUUCCUGGUGUAGCGGUGAAAUGCGCGGAUAUCAGGAGGAACACCGAUGGCGAAGGCAGGUCUCUGGGCCACUACUGACGCUGAGAAGCGAAAGCAUGGGGAGCGAACAGGAUUAGAUACCCCCGUA